rnacentral:rRNA from 1 species
UUCCAGACUCCUACGGGAGGCAGCAGUGGGGAAUAUUGGGCAAUGGGCGCAAGCCUGACCCAGCAACGCCGCGUGAAGGAAGAAGGCCCUCGGGUUGUAAACUUCUUUUAUUCGGGACGAAACAAAUGACGGUACCGAAUGAAUAAGCCACGGCUAACUACGUGCCAGCAGCCGCGGUAAUACGUAGGUGGCAAGCGUUAUCCGGAUUUAUUGGGUGUAAAGGGCGUGUAGGCGGGAGCGCAAGUCAGAUGUGAAAACUCAGGGCUCAACCCUGAGCCUGCAUUUGAAACUGUGUUUCUUGAGUGCUGGAGAGGCAAUCGGAAUUCCGUGUGUAGCGGUGAAGUGCGUAGAUAUACGGAGGAACACCAGUGGCGAAGGCGGAUUGCUGGACAGUAACUGACGUUGAGGCUCGAAAGCGUGGGGAGCAAACAGGAUUAGAUACCCCAGUAA